UGCUAGCUGGGAAUUGCUUUCUGCAGCCAGUUUGGAUGUGACACCUUUUCUUUUGGCUCUGGUAGUAUCCUCAACAGGUCACUGCCCCAUGUUCCUAGAGAGAUCUGCCAAACAAUGGAAUUUAAAAUGAUAACAUAGAGGAAAAUCUGGUCUGUUUUUACUAUCCUGCUAGGACACGAUUUGUGGAACUUGGACGUCUCCUGCAAGAGUUGAGAUGACAUCACAGACACCUAAAACAAGGGUUAUCCAGCUGUUGAUCAGAAGUUGGUGAGAGGAUACCUUCAAAGGAAUGGACACCUGUAUUGUAGACAUCACAGCUAUCUGCCAGUCUCCAAAGAAAUGAAACAAGGUGUGACUCAAAACAAUGGAAACCCACUGGGGAUGGGAAGCCCAAAGGAAGAGGAAGGGCCUCUUGAAACAAG